UAUGUACCUUUUUUUUGGUACUUUAUUUUGUUUUCUUUUUUUUUUGAGCACAUGUCUGUACCACCUAUGGACCUUUUUGUGCUACUUUGUUUUCAUUUUUGUUUUCCUUUGAGUACAGGGUUGUACCAUUUAUGUACCUUUUUUCGGUAUUUCGUUUUCUUUUUUCUUUGAGUACAUGACAGUACCAUCUAUGUAACAUUUUAGGUACUUUGUUUUCGUUUUCGUUUUUUUUUUCUUUGAGUUAAUGUAUGUACCAUUUAAGGACCUGUUUUAUGGAACUUUGUUUUCGUUUGUUUGUUUUUUUGAGCACAUGUUUGUACCACCUAUGGACCUUUUUGUGCUACUUUGUUUUCGUUUUCGUUUUCCUUUGAGUACAGGUAUGUACCAUCUAAGCACCUUUUCUCGGUAUUUCGUUUUCGUUUUGGUUUUUAUUUGAGUACAUGUAUGUACCAUCUAUGGACAGUUUUUGGUUCUUUGUUUUCGUUUUCGUAUUUCUUUGAGUACAUGUAUGUACCAUCUAUGAACCUUUUUUUGUACUUUGUUUUCAUUUUUGUUUUUCUUUGAGUACAGGUAUGUACCAUCUACAGACUUUUUUUCCGUUUUAUUUUUCAGUACAUGUAUGUACCACCUAUGGACCUUUUUUGAGGUACUUUGUUUUCGUUUUCGUAUUUGUUUGAGUACAUGUCGGUACCAUCUAUGAACCUUUUUUUGUUCUUUGCUUUUCAUUUUCGUUUUUCUUUGAGUACAUGUACGUACCAUUUAUGGACCUGUUUUGGGGUACUUUUUUUUUUUUGUUUGAGUAUGUACCAUCUACAGACACUUUUUUCGUGUGUUUUUUCAGCACAUGUUUGUACCAUCUAUGAACCUUUUUUUUUGUACUUUGUUUUCAUUUUCGUUUUUCUUUUAGUACAUGGACGUACCGUUUAUGGACCUGUUUUGUCGUACUUUGUUUUCGUUUUUGUUUUUCUUUGAGUACAGGUAUGUACCAUCUACAGACUUUUUUUUUGUUUUUUUUCAGCACGUUUGUACCUCCUAUGGACCUUUUUGUGCUACUUUGUUUUCGUUUUCGUAUUUGUUUGAGUACAUGUCAGUACCAUCUAUGAACCUUUUUUUUGUAUUUUGUUUUCGUUUUUGUUUUUCUUUGAGUACAGGUAUGUACCAUCUACAGACUUUUUUUCGUUUUUCAGCACGUUUGUACCACCUAUGGACCUUUUUAGUGCUACUUUGUUUUCGUUUUCUUUUCCUUUGAGUACAGGGUUGUACCAUUUAUGUACCUUUUUUCGGUAUUUCGUUUUCGUUUUCGUAUUUCUUUGAGUACAUGUCAGUACCAUCUAUGAACCUUUUUUUUGUACUUUGUUUUCAUUUUCGUUUUUCUUUUAGUACAUGGACGUACCAUUUAUGGACAUGUUUUGUCGUACUUUGUUUUCGUUUUUGUUUUUCUUUGAGUACAGGUAUGUACCAUCUACAGACUUUUUUUUCGUUUUUUUUCAGCACGUUUGUACCUCCUAUGGACCUUUUUGUGCU